AGCUCCAAAAGUGUAUAUUUAAGUUGUUGCGGUUGAAAAGCUCGUAGUCGGAUUUCAGGGCUGGCGCGUUGGUCCCUCGCAAGAGUGGCACUGACGCGUCGCCCUCACCUCCGGUGCCUCGCCGGUGCUCUUAACUGAGUGCCGGCGCGGUCCGGAAAUUUUACCUUGAAAAAAUUAGAGUGUUUAUAGCAGGCGUUUUGCUUGUAUAAUGUUGCAUGGAAUAAUGGAAUAGGACCUCGGUUCUAUUUUGUUGGUUUUCGGAGCGCGAGGUAAUGACCAAUAGGAACGGACGGGGGCAUCCGUACUGUGCCGUUAGAGGUGAAAUUCUUGGAUCGGCGCAAGACGAACAACUGCGAAAGCAUUUGCCAAGAAUGUUUUCU
rnacentral:rRNA from 1 species